CUAACCACAGCUCUAUAAAAUUUCCCCUUGAGCUUCUGUGGAACUUUCUUGUCACACAGGACUCCUGAUGCAAGCCUCCACUUUGACAACCCCGCUCAUAUACGAUGAGUGACGUCCCCGUCAAUAUCUCCGUCCCCCUGGAUCACCGACCCAAGAUAUCUGACAUUAUCCCUCUUGGCGAUGACCUGAGAUCCAAUCAUCACGUCUCUGCCUACUUCGCUCGUCUCAGCGCUAAACUUGCAGUCCAGGUAUUCUGUCUUAGAUCUGCUUAUUUUGAAAACCUUAGACUCGAGAGUCUGCCUCCAUACCUCUAACCUCUCAAUAACACCGACCCU
rnacentral:lncRNA from 1 species